UUUCACUGAACGGCUCUUAACAUAGUGUAUAUAUUUGACUUAAAUGCUCACGUGGAAGCGGCAGUGGAAGUGGUAGCCCUUGUGUAAAGCCCUCCUCGUGUGAAGACCUACUUGUGUAAAGACCAGCGAGUCUACCUGUGUGAGUCCACCGAGCAAGGACAUGACAAGGCGCCACUCAACAUAGCACUUAAGUAUCUUUUAAUUUUAUCUCUUUUGCUAUUUUCCUUGUACAUACUAACAUGUCUACUUCACAAAUAACAUAUGCCUUCAAGCACAUCCCUGUUAUCUGUUACAGACCACUUACACAAUAUAGAUGCAAGACCAAACGCAACCCACACAACCUACGGCCACUUUGCACUUCAGCACCUGCUCCGCUCUCUUUCUCAAUGGGACUCUGGAACUGCCAGUCAGCUGUAAAUAAAGCUGACUUCAUUCAAGCCUUUGCCACACACACAGUCCACCCUCAGCAUCCUGGCACUGACAGAAACAUGGAUAUGUCCAGAGGAUACAGCAACACCUGCUGCUCUCUUCAACAACUUCUUCUCUCACAACCCUCGACACACCAGUAGGGGUGGGGGAACAGGUCAGCUGACAAACUUUCUCGAGGAGUUGCAUGUCCUGCUGUCCUCCUUCCCGGAGGAUGGUAGGCCACUUGUGGUUCUUGGUGAUUUCAACAUACACCACGACAAGCUCCAGGCCACUGAAUUGAAUACUCUUCUGGCCUCAUUUGACUUGGAAAGACUACACACCACAGCCACUCACAGAUCAGGCAACGAGCUGGACCUCAUUUUUACACGCCAGCACGUGCUACACCACCCAGCCCCUGGCUCUCGGACGUCCAUAGUGAACAUUGGACUGACCUCAGGGCAGCUGAGAGGAGAUGGGGGAAAUCUAAAGGUCCAGCAGAUCUAGAACAAGCUGCUGGAUGACAAUCAGUCAGGCUUCAAAAGUGGACACUCCACCGAGACUGCCCUAACCCUAACUCCUUGUCUUUCCAGCCAACCCUGCUGUUGAACACAACAUCAAUGUGCAGCUGGGUGCAACUACAGUAACACCUUCCAAAACGGUGCGAAAUCUAGGGGUAACCAGCGAUAAACUACAUUUCACAGACCACAUCUCAAAGACCACAAGAUCAUGUAGAUUUACACUCUAUAAUAUCAGGAAGAUAAGACCCUUCCUCUCUGAACAUGCCACACAACUUCUUGUUCAGUCACUUGUCAUAACUAGACUAGACUACUGUAACGCUCUCUUAGCACGUCUCCCUGCAAGUGCAAUUAGACCCCUGCAAAUGAUCCAGAAUGCAGAAGCACGUCUGGUCUUUUAUCAACCAAAGGGAGCGCAUGUUACACCACUCAUUGUCUCUCUUCACUGGCUGCUGGUUAAUGCACGUAUCAAAUUCAAGGCUCUGAUGCUGGCAUACAGAACAGUCACUGGGUCUGCUCCAGCAUACCUAAAAUCAUUUCUGCAGAGCUACGCACCCACUAGAAGCCUGUGGUCGGCUAAGGAACGUUGCCUUGUUGUACCAACACAAAGAGGCACCAAUACUUUCCCGAACUUUCGGCUUCAUCAUACCACGUUGGUGGAAUGACCUUCCCAACUCCAUCUGUGAAGCUGACUCACUUUCUGUCUUUAAAAAAUUACUAAAAACACAUCUUUUCCAUGAGCAUUUAACCAGUCACUAAUUAUAAAAAAAUAAAAAAAUAAAAAUUCUUGUUGCACUUUAAUCUGUUUUGAAUACUAUUCUGAUGCUAGUGAAACUUUGUAAUAUGGCACUUUUUCAUACCACUGUCUCCUUAAGAUGAUUUGCUCAUGUUUUUCCUCUUUUGUAAGUCGCUUUGGAUAAAAGCGUCUGCCAAAUGAAUAAAUGUAAAUGUAAGACCACAUCAGACACUUCAUUAGGACCAUAGUGUUCAUAAUAGUAAAUUACUCUAAUCCUGUUCCUUCUCAUUUAUAUUGUAAGAAAGGGAGAUAGAGCCCCUCCUUCUGCUUGAAGAGCCAAACACAGUCUAAUGAAUUAUUCAGAUAACACCCUACAGAUGGAAGACUUAAACCAGGGAAAAUCCCACCAAUAAAUAAAUAUAAAACUCAGCGCACCUGACUCAAGGCUAAAUCAACCAGAAAGAGAGAGUUCAGCAGAAACAGAUCUACUGCAGGUGUUACGGGGGAGGACAAUUACUCAUCAGCUGCAGCAAAAUACAUGUCUGAGCUGCACAUUGUCAAAAACCAAUCACUGCCUUGAUCAACAUAAUCAAGGGGUAUUAAUAAACAUGUUACAGUAUUUCUUUUUUGU